GAUGAAGAACGUAGCGAAAUGCGAUAAGUAAUGUGAAUUGCAGAAUUCAGUGAAUCAUCGAAUCUUUGAACGCACAUUGCGCCCCUUGGUAUUCCGAGGGGCAUGCCUGUUCGAGCGUCAUUAUAACCCCUCAAGCUCAGCUUGGUGUUGGGGCCUGCUGCACUGGCAGCCCUUAAAAUCAGUGGCGGCGCCAUCUGGCUCUAAGCGUAGUAAUUCUUCUCGCUAUGGAGUCCUGGUGGAUGCUUGCCAUCAACCCCCAAUUUUUCUAUGGUUGACCUCGGAUCAGUUAGGGAUACCCGCUGAACUUAAGCAUAUCAAUAAGCGGAGGA
rnacentral:misc_RNA from 1 species